GUGGGGAAUUUUGGACAAUGGGCGCAAGCCUGAUCCAGCAAUGCCGCGUGCAGGAAGAAGGCCUUCGGGUUGUAAACUGCUUUUGUACGGAACGAAACGGUCCUGGUUAAUACCUGGGGCUAAUGACGGUACCGUAAGAAUAAGCACCGGCUAACUACGUGCCAGCAGCCGCGGUAAUACGUAGGGUGCAAGCGGUAAUCGGAAUUACUGGGCGUAAAGCGUGCGCAGGCGGUUUUGUAAGACAGGCGUGAAAUCCCCGGGCUCAACCUGGGAAUUGCGCUUGUGACUGCAAGGCUGGAGUGCGGCAGAGGUGGAUGGAAUUCCGCGUGUAGCAGUGAAAUGCGUAGAUAUGCGGAGGAACACCGAUGGCGAAGGCAAUCCCCUGGGCCUGCACUGACGCUCAUGCACGAAAGCGUGGGGAGCAAACAGGAUUAGAUACCCCGGUAGUCC
rnacentral:rRNA from 1 species